rnacentral:rRNA from 1 species
CCUACGGGAGGCUGCAGUGAGGAAUAUUGGUCAAUGGGCGAGAGCCUGAACCAGCCAAGUCGCGUGAGGGAAGACGGUCCUAUGGAUUGUAAACCUCUUUUGCCGGGGAGCAAAAAGCGGUACGUGUACCGCAUCGAGAGUACCCGGAGAAAAAGCAUCGGCUAACUCCGUGCCAGCAGCCGCGGUAAUACGGGGGGUGCACGCGUUGUCCGGAAUCAUUGGUCGUAAAGAGUUCGUAGGCGGCACGUAAAGGAGGGUGUUAAAGGCAGAGGCUCAACUUCUGUACGGCACUGGAUACUUGCGAGCUAGAAUGCGGUAGAGGUAAAGGGAAUUCCUGGUGUAGCGGUGAAAUGCUUAGAUAUCAGGAGGAACAUCGGUGGCGUAAGCGCUUUACUGGGCCGUAAUUGACGCUGAGGAACGAAAGCCAGGGUAGCAAAUGGGAUUAGAUACCCGGGUAGUC